GACUUCAAAGGAACACGAGGCACUUACAAAGAGCCUUUAAGCCACCUGAGACUUUGGUUUUAGAGCCAAAACCUGCAGGGGCACUGGUAGAGACAACGUACAACAGUGAUCCUGGUUUGUUUCCAGUGGGAGAGGGCGAUCACUGAGACUCCAGUUUUGACCAGUGGAGCCUAUGAUCCAGAACCCCCAGGUCAGGUCUCUCCAAUGCAGUGGCCAGAUGAGGGAAGCUAUAGAGUCCUUCAAGGAAUAGAACUGGAGAGCAGACGCCACGGACCUUGAUGAAAGAGCUGUUUUCUAUUAUUAAAAAGAUCCAGUUGCUCAAUGUAACUCCACCCAGUUUUGGCUAACUUCCUUCUUCCUCCAUCCCACAUAAUUCAUGAAAGUUCAUGAAAGUCUCCUCGUAUUCACAUUUCUCAGGAUCAAAGCCAAGAAAGGGAAUUCUGGCAACAAGAUGCCACCUGGAUAGAAAUGGCUAGUAAAAGGAUGGGAUGUAGCUGGUGCAGCCAAAAUAGCACGGUUGUAACAAAAACAAUAUAGGAAUUGAUUUACUGGAAAUAAGUUUUAUUUCCAUUUUGGUAUUGUAUCAUAUAAGAUCGCAUAAUGACAGCAGCAUAUGCAUUUUAAUUAUGAGUUACAUAUGACCCAUGCAAAGGGACAACAAGCUGGCUUCAUAGGCGGUUGAAGGGAAGGAGGAGGUCUCUGCAACUUUCUGGGGGCUGGGGUACAGAGUUCCUGCUCACAUGAACAUGCAACCUAUUACAUACCCAUUAGCUAAUAAAAGUUUUCGUUCGUCAGGAAACUAUUGCAGGGCAAUACAAAACGAUAGUGUAUUUUAAAAUAAUGCUUGGACGUUCUAUGGAAUUAAGGGAUGCGAUUACCACACCACAGAGUACAAAUUUCCUACCUGUU